rnacentral:lncRNA from 1 species
AUACUUGAAAUAAAAAAGAACCUUUCUUUUCUUCCUUUGAUCUUUCUUCCCUCGCCAGCCCUCCAUUGCACUUGGCUGGGUAACAGGGUCCAUGAGUUGCAGCUACAGGUAGGGCAGCGUCUCCUGGGAAUCCCCAGGGAGAUGAGGGUCAGCACACCCCUAAGCUCCAGGUCAUCAGCGGCCUCCUCACACAGCUCGAGCUCACCCCCAUCUGCCUUCCUGGUUGUCAUUGGACAGGAAUUUUAUUUUCUGAGAUGAUGGAGGCAGGUAUAAUGUUCUUGACCAUCGGA